GCCAGUGUGGCACAGUGGUUUGAGUGUUGGACUAUGGCUCUGGAGAUCUGAGUUCAAUUAUCUGCUCAGACA